GGCUCCAUCGUCUAGCGGCUAGGACAUCAGGUUCUCAUCCUGGGAACGGGAGUUCGAUUCUCCCUGGAGUCA
rnacentral:tRNA from 1 species